GGUUAAGUGACUAAGCGUACACGGUGGAUGCCUGGGCAGUCAGAGGCGAUGAAGGACGUACUAACUUGCGAUAAGCGCAGAUAAGGCAGUAAGAGCCGUUUGAGUCUGCGAUUUCCGAAUGGGGAAACCCAACUGCAUAAGCAGUUACUGUUAACUGAAUCCAUAGGUUAACAGAGCAAACCGGGGGAACUGAAACAUCUAAGUACCCCGAGGAGAAGAAAUCAACCGAGAUUCCGGUAGUAGCGGCGAGCGAACCUGGAUUAGCCCUUAAGCACUCGGUGAAGUAGGUGAACAAGCUGGAAAGCUUGGCGAUACAGGGUGAUAGCCCCGUAACCGACGCUUCAUCGAGCGUGAAAUCGAGUAGGGCGGGACACGUGAUAUCCUGUCUGAA
rnacentral:rRNA from 1 species